rnacentral:rRNA from 1 species
GGCGGGGUGCCCGAAAGGGAAUUGGAACACAGGUGCUGCAUGGGCUGUCGUCAGCUCGUGUCGUGAGAUGUUGGGUUAAGUCCCGCAACGAGCGCAACCCUUAUCAUUAGUUGCUACGCAAGGGCACUCUAAUGAGACUGCCGGUGACAAACCGGAGGAAGGUGGGAUGACGUCAAGUCCUCAUGGCCCUUAUGGGCAGGGCUUCACACGUCAUACAAUGGUCGGUACAGAGGGUUGCCAAGCCGCGAGGUGGAGCCAAUCCCAGAAAGCCGAUCGUAGUCCGGAUUGUUCUCUGCAACUCGAGAGCAUGAAGUCGGAAUCGCUAGUAAUCGCGGAUCAGCAUGUCGCGGUGAAUACGUUCCCAGGUCUU